rnacentral:rRNA from 1 species
UACGUAGGGUCCGAGCGUUGUCCGGAAUUACUGGGCGUAAAGAGCUCGUAGGUGGUUUGUCGCGUUGUCCGUGAAAACUCACAGCUCAACUGUGGGCGUGCGGGCGAUACGGGCAGACUGGAGUACUGCAGGGGAGACUGGAAUUCCUGGUGUAGCGGUGGAAUGCGCAGAUAUCAGGAGGAACACCGGUGGCGAAGGCGGCUUUCUGGUCUGUAACUGACGCUGAGGCGCGAAAGCGUGGGGAGCAAACAGG